CCUACGGGUGGCAGCAGUGGGGAAUAUUGCGCAAUGGGCGAAAGCCUGACGCAGCGACGCCGCGUGAGGGAUGAAGGUCUUCGGAUCGUAAACCCCUGUUAGCAGGGAAGAACGGUCACUGUGCUAAUCAGCAGUGAAUUGACGGGACCUGCAAAGGACGCACCGGCUAACUCCGGGCCCGCAGCCGCGGUAAUACGGAGGGUGCUAGCGUUAAUCGGAAUUACUGGGCGGAAAGCGCUCGUAGGCGGUAUGGCAAGUCAAGGGUGAAAUCCCCGGGCUCAACGUGGGAACUGCCUUUGAAACUGGCAGACUGGAGUGUGUGAGAGGAUAGUGGAAUUCCAGGUGUAGGAGUGAAAUCCGUAGAUAUCGGGAGGAACAUCAGUGGCGAAGGCGACUAUCUGGCACAUAACUGACGCUGAGGAGCGAAAGCGUGGGUAGCGAACAGGAUUAGAUACCCCUGUAGUC
rnacentral:rRNA from 1 species